AAUCAGUUGGGCGAAGACCGCGUGCCUGGCGUUCUCCCAAAGCGCAGCGAGCCCGAGUUCGCUCUCGGGCCGAUCC
rnacentral:tRNA from 1 species